UCCUACGGGAGGCAGCAGUGGGGAAUAUUGGGCAAUGGGGGAAACCCUGACCCAGCGACGCCGCGUGAAGGAUGAAGGCCUUAGGGUUGUAAACUUUUUUGGAUGGGGACGAAAUAAAUGACGGUACCCAUCGAACAAGCCACGGCUAACUACGUGCCAGCAGCCGCGGUAAA
rnacentral:rRNA from 1 species